AGAAUCAACGCUGGCGGCGUGCCUAACACAUGCAAGUCGCACGAGAAAGGGGAGCAAUCCCUGAGUAAAGUGGCGCACGGGUGAGUAACACGUGAAUAAUCUACCUCCGAGUGGGGAAUAAACUGAGAGAAAUCUUAGCUAAUACCGCAUAACACUUACGAGUCAAAGCAGCAAUGCGCUUGGAGAGGAGUUCGCGGCCGAUUAGUUAGUUGGCGGGGUAAUGGCCCACCAAGACGAUGAUCGGUAUCCGGCCUGAGAGGGCGCACGGACACAUUGGAACUGAAACACGGUCCAGACUCCUACGGGAGGCAGCAGUGGGGAAUUUUGCGCAAUGGGGGAAACCCUGACGCAGCAACGCCGCGUGGAGGAUGAAGCCCCGUUGGGGUGUAAACUCCUUUCGAUCGGGAAGAUAAUGACGGUACCGAUAUAAGAGCCCGGCUAACUUCGCGCCAGCAGCCGC
rnacentral:rRNA from 1 species